CAGUCGCCGCGGUAAUACGGAGGAUCCAAGCGUUAUCCGGAAUCAUUGGGUUUAAAGGGUCCGUAGGCGGUCUUGUAAGUCAGUGGUGAAAGCUUAUCGCUCAACGGUGGAACGGCCAUUGAUACUGCAGGACUUGAAUUAUUGGGAAGUAACUAGAAUAUGUAGUGUAGCGGUGAAAUGCUUAGAGAUUACAUGGAAUACCAAUUGCGAAGGCAGGUUACUACCAAUUGAUUGACGCUGAUGGACGAAAGCGUGGGUAGCGAACAGGAUUAGAUACCCCUGUAGUCCCUGUCUCUUAUAC
rnacentral:rRNA from 1 species